CCAUGUUGUUUCUGAUUCUGGUUUUCUGAAAUCUGGGCCUUUAUUUGAUUCAGGCAAACAAUGAAUGGACCAGCUACAUGUUUAGGACUUUACAGUAAUAAUAAACCAGAUGUGUGUGUGUGUGUGUAUGUGUGUGUGUUUUCUGCAGGGUCUCAGUCCUGACUGAGGGACAGGGACAAUCUGUCCCCCCGCUCCGCCUCGGCUGCCAGGACGGAUCCACGGUCAGGUGUGAACGGCCGUCACUGCUGCCGUCUCCCACUUUCACACGAACUGUACGAGUUUUCACACACUGCUGGUCAGCAGCGGGUCCGUCAGCAGAUUGCAGCUGAUCUGGGAGGACAGAUGUUGCUGGAUUGGCAGCUGCAGGUCUGGUUGAGAUUUGGACCAGCAGUGACGGCGCGGGGAGCGGAGACGGUUUGUGGAUCAUCAGUCGGACGCAGCGGUGAAACCGAACCCUGCAGACACCCAACACCCGAGAGAGGAAACUCCACAGUGGGUCUGCUGUCGACCCGGAGAGCUUCAGGCUGGAGUUCUGCUCUACAUCAACCAGAACCGGUUGCCUAGCAACGGAGACCUUUGAGGACAUCAGAUCCUGAUGUGACCCAACAUGAUCAUGAGUUUGACUGGGACCAGUAACUCCAGUAACUCCAGUAACUCCAGUAACUUCACACUCCAGGGUUACUUGUGGAGUACCACAAGGUUCUGUGCUUGGCCCA